AUUGAUGGUGAGGUAAUGGCUCACCAUGUCUACGAUCAGUACGGGCCUUGAGAGAGGUAGCCCGGAGAAGGGCACUGAGAUACUGGUCCUAGCCCUACGGGGUGCAGCAGGCGCGGAACCUUUACAAUGCACGAAAGUGCGAUAAGGGGAUCCAGAGUGCUAUCGCGUAAGCGGUGGCUUUUUUUAAAGGUAAAAACUUUGAAGAAUAAGUGAUGGGAAAGACUGGUGCCAGCAGCCGCGGUAAUACCAGCGUCACGAGUGGCAAUCAUGUUUAUUGGGCCUAAAGCGUUCGUAGCCGGUUUGAUAAAUCUUCUGUGAAAUCGUUGUGCUUAACAUAACGGCGUGCAAAAGAGACUGUCAAACUAGGGACCGGGAGGAGUUAGGAGUAUUCAUUGGGGAGCGGUAAAAUGCUAUAAUCCUUUGAAGACUACCUGUGGCGAAGGCGCCUAACCAGAACGGAUCCGACGGUGAGGGACGAAAGCCAGGGGAUCAAACCGGAUUAGAUACCCGAGUAGUCCUGGCUGUAAACUCUGCGAGCUAGAUGUUGUAUAUCCUCGUGGUUAUGCAGUAUCGUAGCGAAGGCGUUAAGCUCGCCGCCUGGGAAGUAUGGUCGCAAGACUGAAACUUAAAGGAAUUGGCGGGGGAGCACUACAAGAGGUGCGGCGUGCGGUUUAAUCUAACUCAACGCAGAGAAUCUCACCAUGGGCGAUGGCCGAAUGAAAGUCAGGCUGAAGGUCUUACUUGACCAGCCAAGAGGUGGUGCAUGGCCGCCGUCAGCUCGUGCCGUGAGGUGUCCUGUUAAGUCAGGUAACGAGCGAGACCUGCAUCCACAAUUGCUAGCGAGUCCUUUUCGACGUUCGAGCACUUUGUGGAGACUGCCUUCGUAAGGAGGAGGAAGGUGCAGGCCACGGUAGGUCUGUAUGCCCCGAAUCUCAUGGGCUACACGCGCGCAACAAUGGUAAGGACAAUGGGCUACUACUCCGAAAGGAGACGUUAAUCCUCUAAACCUUAUCUCAGUCCAGAUUGAGGAUUGUAACUCAUCCUCAUGACGAUGGAAUCUCUAGUAAUCGGAAGUUAUCAGCUUCCGGUGAAUAUGUCCCUGCUCCUUGUACACAUCGCCCGUCAAACCAACCGAGCAGGGUUUAGGUGAAAUGCAGUUUUUUGAUUGUAGUGAACCGAAGCUCAGUGAGGUGGGUUAAGUCGUCACAAAGUA
rnacentral:rRNA from 1 species